UAAAAAGGAUGUCCGGAAGUAAAUGCAGAAAACCGAGCCUAUUUAUACCUCACUAUCAUUUGGUUUGUUAUUACAGUUAGGUUAAUUCCUAAAGGAAAAAAAAAAAAAGUUGUUCUUCCUAGGAACUUCAGGCACAACUCAGUCUCUCCARUGCUGGGAGAGGUACAAGCACUCAGGAGAGAGAUUAUCCUUUCCUCAGACAGCUUAAAAUUAAACAUGUCAAGACAUAAAGAGUAAAUAGAGAGCCAGAAGAGAAGCAAGAAGCAAAGAUGGUUUAUCAUGACCAGCAACAGAUAUAGGACCCAGCUGAGCAGCAUAAGACAGAGGCAUUUGGGAAUGAUUCUGAUCCCCUGCAGCUUGGCUGGAGCUGAGGUUGUCUCUGACAGUGCAAAGCAAGAGACUUCACCUUCGGCAGGGAAGAGAUUGAAGCCAGGCUCGUGUUUGGACUUACAGACCAAGGGGAAAAGCCCGAACAAGGCAUUUUCAUCAGGCGAUAGGAAGGCCCUGUGUAGGCCAUGGCGAGGCAUAUGGUACCACUGUUACACCACUGAUGAUUAUGAAGCAAACUCAUCCCUGAAGAUAUGUAGAGGACAGUGCCUUGCUUAUUUGGUUUUCAGCACCCAGCCUCUGAAGUUUCCACUGCUCUUGCCUGUUUCUAGCAACUUUGUGACACCUGCAGACAGGGGAGCUUUAAGAACUGGAAGUUUUUUGCUGAUU